rnacentral:rRNA from 1 species
UACGUAGGGGGCGAGCGUUAUCCGGAUUCAUUGGGCGUAAAGCGCGCGUAGGCGGCCUGUUAGGUCGGGGGUCAAAUACCGGGGCUCAACCCCGGUCCGCCCCCGAUACCGGCAGGCUUGAGUCUGGUAGGGGAAGGCGGAAUUCCCAGUGUAGCGGUGGAAUGCGCAGAUAUUGGGAAGAACACCGGCGGCGAAGGCGGCCUUCUGGGCCACGACUGACGCUGAGGCGCGAAAGCUAGGGGAGCGAACAG